AUUGAAUGCUGCAAAUACUACUAUUGGUAUUCACACUCCAUACCACUAGGUGGCGAUAAUGCUACUUGCCAGAAACAAAAGUGCAUCCGCUUCUGUUGCUAAAAUUAUGCUACACAUAAAAAUGUUCAGAGCAUGACAGGUCUUACAAGUUUAACCUUCUUCUGUUACACUGUUUGUCUGUUAAGCUUUAACUGGAACUUAGCAUUAACAGCCAUUUAAGAAAUCUAACGUUAACCUAAGCUAGUUAGCUGUUUACUCGAAUAAGUUCUGUUAGCAGCUAAGAUAACUGAACGGUCAUAUAACUGGGCUAAUAGCGAGAGUAAACGUUUCUAGGUCAGAACUCAUUCUCAAUGGAUGUCAGCAUUGCUGUGUCACUAAUUCGAGGCCAGAUGGGGACCGUAGUCGAGCGAGCAGUAAAUGGAGCGGUCGAGACGGUGCUGGCCGAGAUGCUUAAAGUGGUCGGAGUCAAAUUUGAGGAGCUAAAGGCUCAAGUGGUGCAGAUGAAGAGGGACAUGAUGGCGUUGCAGAGUGAGAAGGCUCAAAAAGAGAAGGAGAACGACAACAUUCGAGCCAAGCUACGUUACACGGAGCUGAAGCUCAAGUACUACAGGCAAGGAGUGGAGGAGGAGCUGCAGCAGAGAGCCUCUGCUUCUACCCUAGUCUGGAUUCAGCCACCAACCCUACCACGAACACAGAGAAGCAGAUCUGGCGUUUCCCCAACCAAGACCCUGUCGUCAUUCUCAGUUCAGACCAGGACUGCUGAGGGAGCGUUGAUGAGGAACAGCAACAUCCCAGAAUGCACCUCACCAAACAGCAUGAACAGGCAAAAAGUCAGAGUGUCCUGCCCUUCAAAUGUGGCCCACACUGACUCGUCUGACCUGCUGCUUCCUGCUUCACUCACUCUGAAUGUGGCUGGAGAAUCUCUGGACAGCAGUACAGUGUUGUUCUGUCCUAGCUCAGACCCCGUUCAGUGUAAGAAAGUUGAACAAGUGGAUGAGUAUGAAUGGGCCAUUCUGCACUCUAAUACAGAAGACAUGGAUAGUGCCAUAGCCUCUUCUCCUGCCCAGGCUCCGACUUUAGAUGAUGGGCAAGAGUCAGGGGAUCCCUCUCUGUCUCCAGGUGGCGCCACCUAUGCAGAUAGCUCCACGCUGCACUUCUCUGUUCCAGAGAUGAAGCAGGAGGCCCAGGAAAAGGAGAAGGAGGUGAUCUAUAUAAAAGAGGAGCCAGAGGAAGAGCAAGAGAUGAUGGCCACCCUACUGCUUGACUGCCACGAACAGCAGGGUCAUCAGCCAGAGUCAGAGCCUCAACAGUCAGUGACAGAGUGCCCAAGUGCUCGAGGAAGCCAAAGAAAUACUACAGCCUUGAGCUCAGCUGGACGAACCACCCAUUCAGCAGCUCAGUCAGCUGCCAUCUUGCCACCUGGUGUCCCACCUCGCCAAGUGGGGCGACCCUGGGCUAAAGACCUUAGCCUUUAUGAAGAAUACAAAAUGCGGAGGAGUGAGCUUCGUCGCCGAAACAUGACAAAGCGCAGAGAACUGGAGAAAUCGUUACCUCAACCGCUGCUGGCAGAUCUGGUGCGGGAGCGUCGAGAGAAGACCAGACUGAGGGUAGCCAGGUGGAGGGCAAAACGGAAACUCCAGGCCUGCCUUAACCAGAUGCAGGCCUAUGGAGACACUCAAGGUCUUUCUCAGACUGGCUUUCCCAUCGGCAGUCAGCAUCAGCAGCCCAGAUCAGCUUGUACUUCCACCUCCAGCACUCAGCAGAGACAGAGCUCAGCAGCAUCCCAGUCCAGCGGCUUCCUCAGCAACAUAUCAGCACCAAAUAGCAUCCCACUGAUAUCUUCUUCCUCUUCCACCCUGGUUCUGAAAGGCCCCAACAUGGCUCCACAUGAGCAUGCUGUGGCAUCAUCACUUUCCUACCCCCAUGGCAACAUCUCUCCACAAAGACUCUCUCAGACAGACACUAUCUUACAGUGA
ensembl:lncRNA